rnacentral:rRNA from 1 species
AAGACCUUGCGCUUUUGGAGCGGCCGAUGUCUGAUUAGCUAGUUGGUAGGGUAAUGGCCUACCAAAGCUUUGAUCAGUAGCUGGUCUGAGAGGACGACCAGCCACACUGGGACUGAGACACGGCCCAGACUCCUACAGGAGGCAGCAGUGGGGAAUUUUGGACAAUGGGCGCAAGCCUGAUCCAGCCAUGCCGCGUGAGUGAAGAAGGCCUUCGGGUUGUAAAGCUCUUUCAGCCGGGAAGAAAAGGCUACGACGAAUAAUCGUAGCUCAUGACGGUACCGGAAGAAGAAGCACCGGCUAACUACGUGCCAGCAGCCGCGGUAAUACGUAGGGUGCGAGCGUUAAUCGGAAUUACUGGGCGUAAAGGGUGCGCAGGCGGUUUUGUAAGUCAGAUGUGAAAUCCCCGGGCUUAACCUGGGAACU